rnacentral:rRNA from 1 species
GAUGAACGCUGGCGGCGUGCCUAAUACAUGCAAGUCGAGCGAACAGACGAGGAACUUGCUCCUCUGACGUUAGCGGCGGACGGGUGAGUAACACGUGGAUAACCUACCUAUAAGACUGGGAUAACUUCGGGAAACCGGAGCUAAUACCGGAUAAUAUAUUGAACCGCAUGGUUCAAUAGUGAAAGACGGUUUUGCUGUCACUUAUAGAUGGAUCCGCGCCGCAUUAGCUAGUUGGUAAGGUAACGGCUUACCAAGGCAACGAUGCGUAGCCGACCUGAGAGGGUGAUCGGCCACACUGGAACUGAGACACGGUCCAGACUCCUACGGGAGGCAGCAGUAGGGAAUCUUCCGCAAUGGGCGAAAGCCUGACGGAGCAACGCCGCGUGAGUGAUGAAGGUCUUCGGAUCGUAAAACUCUGUUAUUAGGGAAGAACACAUGUGUAAGUAACUAUGCACGUCUUGACGGUACCUAAUCAGAAAGCCACGGCUAACUACGUG